CUUCUCUUCCACGUAAAAGCUUUUAGCUUUCGCUUUCCCUUCUCUUUCGCGUAGAGUUGUUUCCUUUUCCCUUCUCUUUUGUGUAUAACACCUGAAGUAAAAAAAAAAAAAAAUCGCUCUGCUCCGAUACUUUGCUCUGCUCUAGUGUCGUUCGAAGAUACUCCGACCAUUCGUCUCUUGCCGUUCGUCGAUCCUCUAGUGCAUUUCGUCGCUCCUUCUUUUCAAACCAUUCAAUCAACUUUGAGCUUUUUCUCUUAUUUCACAUAUGCGGAGGCCGUCUACCUAAUUGUAAAUCAGUCAGCUUGGAAGACAAGCGAAGACUAUCUACAUAUGAUUGUUUUACCUCCAAAAGUAGUCAAAAGAGUUGGUCGACUGAAGAAAAAAAGGAUUCCAAGUGUUGGUGAAGCUCCGGAAUUGCAUAAGUGUGGUCGAUGUAAAGAAAUAGGUCACAACAGAUUAACGUGUACCAAUACAAUUUCAUAUACCAAGAAGUCCAGCAUACAAAUUUAAAAAUUUCUCUACCGAUGUACUAAUUAUUACACUAAUUAAUGAAUGUUACUUUUCUUUUA